UCGACGGUGAAGAGGAGCUUGCUCCUUGGAUCAGUGGCGAACGGGUGAGUAACACGUGAGCAAUCUGCCCUUGACUCUGGGAUAACUGCGGGAAACUGUAGCUAAUACCGGAUAUUACCUUGGAAGGCAUCUUCUGGGGUGGAAAGAAUUUUGGUCAAGGAUGAGCUCGCGGCCUAUCAGCUAGUUGGUGAGGUAAUGGCUCACCAAGGCGACGACGGGUAGCCGGCCUGAGAGGGUGACCGGCCACACUGGGACUGAGACACGGCCCAGACUCCUACGGGAGGCAGCAGUGGGGAAUAUUGCACAAUGGGCGCAAGCCUGAUGCAGCAACGCCGCGUGAGGGACGACGGCCUUCGGGUUGUAAACCUCUUUUAGUAGGGAAGAAGCGACUGGGUUUUCCUGGAAGUGACGGUACCUGCAGAAAAAGCACCGGCUAACUACGUGCCAGCAGCCGCGGUAAUACGUAGGGUGCAAGCGUUGUCCGGAAUUAUUGGGCGUAAAGAGCUCGUAGGCGGUUUGUCGCGUCUGCUGUGAAAACCCGAGGCUCAACCUCGGGCCUGCAGUGGGUACGGGCAGACUAGAGUGCGGUAGGGGAGAUUGGAAUUCCUGGUGUAGCGGUGGAAUGCGCAGAUAUCAGGAGGAACACCAAUGGCGAAGGCAGAUCUCUGGGCCGUAACUGACGCUGAGGAGCGAAAGCAUGGGGAGCGAA
rnacentral:rRNA from 1 species